rnacentral:rRNA from 1 species
ACGCUGGCGGCAGGCCUAACACAUGCAAGCCGAGCGGUAGCACAGGAGAGCUUGCUCUCUGGGUGACGAGCGGCGGACGGGUGAGUAAUGUCUGGGAAACUGCCUGAUGGAGGGGGAUAACUACUGGAAACGGUAGCUAAUACCGCAUGACCCCGCAAGAGCAAAGUGGGGGACCUUCGGGCCUCACGCCAUCGGAUGUGCCCAGAUGGGAUUAGCUAGUAGGUGGGGUAAUGGCUCACCUAGGCGACGAUCCCUAGCUGGUCUGAGAGGAUGACCAGCCACACUGGAACUGAGACACGGUCCAGACUCCUACGGGAGGCAGCAGUGGGGAAUAUUGCACAAUGGGCGCAAGCCUGAUGCAGCCAUGCCGCGUGUGUGAAGAAGGCCUUAGGGUUGUAAAGCACUUUCAGCGAGGAGGAAGGCGUUGUAGUUAAUAGCUGCAGCGAUUGACGUUACUCGCAGAAGAAGCACCGGCUAACUCCGUGCCAGCAGCCGCGGUAAUACGGAGGGUGCAAGCGUUAAUCGGAAUUACUGGGCGUAAAGCGCACGCAGGCGGUUUGUUAAGUCAGAUGUGAAAUCCCCGAGCUUAACUUGGGAACUGCAUUUGAAACUGGCAAGCUAGAGUCUUGUAGAGGGGGGUAGAAUUCCAGGUGUAGCGGUGAAAUGCGUAGAGAUCUGGAGGAAUACCGGUGGCGAAGGCGGCCCCCUGGACAAAGACUGACGCUCAGGUGCGAAAGCGUGGGGAGCAAAC